AUACCGAUACCGGUCCGGUGCAUAGUUUCGCUUUACAUAACACGUGGUCGACGGUCGACGCUACACCAAAACCGUCGCGCCAAAAGCAUAUACACGCAUGCAUACAACCAAAACGAGCAAAUCGGGCUCGUCGUUUGCUGCUUGCUUAUGCGGAGACUUCAACACGCCCCAACAUCAGUUCGGCUCGCGCAAUGAACGGAAUCGGUUUACGAAUACGGGGACCGGUCGGGGAACGACGACGACAUUUUCCGUGUACACUUUUGGUGUUCUUGAUACUUCUAACAGCUGAUUGCCUGUUGGCGUCGAUCAAAUCGUUCGAAGAGCUAAGUGUACACACACUUACUGAUUCAGGAUCCCUCGACGAUUGCUCUCUGAGACUUCAAAAACUCUUCGAUCGGGAAGUUUCCACAUCGGUGGCAACAUUUUCGACCAACUCCAAGGAAUUUGCUCAUCUGGUUGCGAUCGGUUGGAAGCAGACAACCGGUGAAGUGGAGUGGCGUUGUUCCGGAACAUUGAUCGCAGAGGAUUUCGUACUAACGGCAGCCCAUUGUACUCAGGAUGAUGGCAAUGAACCAACGUCGAUUCGUGCCGGUGACCUAGAUUUAUACAGCUCGAAAGAUGAUCACUUUGCGCAACAGCUUGAUAUCACGGAAAUCAUCCGUCAUCCCGAGUUCAAUUUCAGCAGCGCGUAUCACGACGUCGCACUGAUCAAACUUGCAAAACCAGUGACCGUCACCGAUUUUGUCGUACCGGCUUGUUUGUACACGAACGAGUCUCUCUCAUUCCACAGACUCUAUGCAACCGGUUGGGAUUUUUACGCCGACGUUUCGCCACCAAUUUACAGCACUCCACUGAAGCUUAUUGAUCAAGACCGCUGCAAAUUUUUGUACCGCGAUUUCAAAGAUGCUUUCCGGAGAGGAAUCAAUCGAAUGUUGAUGUGUGCUGGAGAUGAAACAUUAACCAACUGUCCCGGAGACACAGGAGGGUCACUGCAAGUGAGGCUACUGUCUAGCUCAAAGUAUACCCCAUUUUUAGUCGGUGUUUCAGCGUUGGGCAUCCCCUGCGGUCAAACUACACCGGGGGUGUUCGCAAAAAUCUCCCACUACAUUGGCUGGAUUGAAGAUAUCACCAAGUUGAACUUUGCUCCGCAAGAAUGUGUCACACGACACAUUUCCCAGCGAGAGUCUGAUGAGGCUCUCGUUGCAUCCGAGUUAAAGACUGAUACCAGCCAGCCUUAUCUGACCGGUAAAAAAACAUCGACCACAGCCGAUCCCACCAGGGCACAGCUGCAGGUUUUUAAAGAGUUCAAGUGUGCCGUCGGAAAAGAUGGCGAGAACGUUGAUUGGAUCUGCGGCUGUACGUUAGUGGCUCAGGAUUUCGCACUGACAUCAGCCCGAUGCCUUAAAAAUGUCGAGGUCGACAUCGUCAACUACAAAAACGAUUGGAAGCGCAUAGAAGAGAUAAUCUUCCACCCCGAGUACGAUAAAAAAACGCUCUACAACGACCUGGCGUUGAUACGACUGCAAACCGAUAACAGGAAUCGGUACGAUUGGAAAUCUGUUUCUUGCAUCGGUGACAUCGAAGAUCAAAGGCAGUUUCUUUCGUUUGGAAUUGGACCGUACAACUUGAAUGACGAUGGCUCGAUAGAUAACAACACCGAUGGGACAGAGCGCUACCUGACAGCCACGCUUCAAUUGAUGGAAAGAGCCAAUUGUACCGAACACUACAAGAGUUACGGCAUCCUGAAGGACGGUAUCAACGAGACGCAAUUUUGUACGUGGUCCAGAGAUGCUUUGGUUCCGGGGGCGUGCGAACCGUGGAACGGGAAUGAGGUAUUGAAUGAAUUAAGGCCCGCCAGUGACACUAACCCGUUCCCGGAGGAUCUUAUCGGUGUUGGUUCCUAUGCACCGGAUUGUGGCUUCGGUGGCCGACCGAUGAUCAGCACAAGAGCAAUCGCUUUUCGCGAAUGGAUGAAUUCGGUUAUCUACAGAACGAUUAACGUCAAGGCCGUCAGGCAGGUGCUGAUGGAAAAGGAACUGGCGCUGGACUACAUCUGCGAGGCCUCGGACCGGGAAGCGGGAGUGUGUGUACAUAUUGACCACUGCAGUCAUCGUGCGCUAGUGGAUGAAAUCAAAUUUUGUACCAACGAAACGGCACCGAUAGUGUGCUGUCCGGUUAAUUCGUUCAUCGCAACGGCGCAUUUGCCACUGCUCACCGAAUGCGAAACCAAUUACCAGCGCUACCGGAAGAAGUACGUGGAUUUUGCCACGCCGGAAGGUCAUCGGGUCGAGGACGGGGAACAUCCGCACGCGGUGCUGAUCGGAUGGAAAGUCAACAGCACCGUCACCAAUUGGCACUGUAUGGGAACGUUAAUUAACAAAAACACGGUCCUAACGACUGCCGGAUGCACAAAUGCGGUCAAAAGACGCAGCCCGGAUGUAAUCAGCAUUGGCGAGUCUGACGUUGGGAAAAUCUUCGAUGGCGUUGCCCAAAUUAUACGUGUGAAAGAUACCAUCCGUUACCCGAGCUACAACUCCAAAACCCACGAGUACGACAUUGCCAUUCUGAAGCUGGAAUCCGAAGUAACUGUCAACGAGAAUGCAGUCCCGGCCUGUUUGUGGCGUGAUUUAAAUCGAACACCUUACUACACACAGGAGGUGCAGUUCAAUAAGCAGUUCCUCACCGCACGGGACAAGAACGUGGUGCACAACCGGGACUGCAAACAGUUCACUUCCCACACCGAGCUCAACAAUGACCAGAUGUGCUGGCAGGAGUUCAAGCUGCGUCCCGACGGAACCGAGGCGGAAAACUGCGGACGCCGGGGCGAUCCGUUUAUUUCGUUCCAGCGGAGCAACAAUAUCUAUCUGCCCUAUCUGGUGGGGUUGUACAGUUUUGGCGAUAAGUGCGCUUCCGGUGAACCUGUGCUGGCUACCAGGAUCUCAUCCUACCUCAACUGGAUUAGCCUAUACUUCUAGUAUAGAAACCGUCGAGCCAUCACGCCAAAGCAUGUAGGAUGAAAACAUGCGAUAGAAUAAAGUGUCUUGGAAAACGAUUUGUUGGUGACAACGCACGGACAUCCAUGAAAUGCACAACCAGAAACGAACCAGCGAAAUUUUGUAGUUACUGAGUACUAAGUUUCAGAAAUUCAUGGUGUUAUCUUCGAAAAAAAAAUCCACAGAUUUUC